rnacentral:rRNA from 1 species
AGAAUCAACGCUGGCGGCGUGCCUAACACAUGCAAGUCGAACGAGAAAGUGGGAGCAAUCCCAUUAGUAAAGUGGCGCACGGGUGAGUAACACGUGACUAACCUACCCUUGAGUGGGGGGAUAACCUAGGGAAACCUGGGCUAAUACCGCAUAAUACCUACGGGUCAAAGGAGCAAUUCGCUUUAGGAGGGGGUCGCGGCAGAUUAGUUAGUUGGCGGGGUAAUGGCCCACCAAGACAGUGAUCUGUAUCCGGCCUGAGAGGGCGCACGGACACACUGGAACUGAAACACGGUCCAGACUCCUACGGGAGGCAGCAGUGGGGAAUUUGCGCAAUGGGGGAAACCCUGACGCAGCAACGCCGCGUGGAGGAUGAAGCCCCUUGGGGCGUAAACUCCUUUCGAUCGGGAAGAUAAUGACGGUACCGGAAGAAGAAGCCCGGCUAACUUCGUGCCAGCAGCCGC